GAAUUCUUGCAUAAUUACUACCGCCAUAUCGGUAUUGUUGUUGUGAUGACAACAAAAAGUCUGGAUAGUUGGAUCUGCCAUAUUUUGAGAGCGUGUUCAGAGCCACAGCCAAUCACUCUUUUCCCUCCUGCAGAUCAGCAGGUGGCAGAGCUACACAAAAAAGUUGUCGACGUAAGGGGCCACUCUCGCAGCCUCACUUGACACCCGUCACUGAGAUUCGACGGUCUCGUCUCAAUGAAUUCCCGAGUUUCUUGUGAAACAACGAGGGCAAAUUCGAUGGGCAAACCUCUGGGAAAACAAGGUUCAUGCAGUGUUCGGACUGGUAGCAAGGGGUCUUCAACUGAUCGUGGGCAGUCGCACGUGAUGGGAAACAUCUGUUUUUGUUCGUCUGAUCAUGUACGGCGCGAUAGAAUCAUUCAACAAUUUAGCCACAUUCAACGCAGUAGCUUCCUGAAGGGCCGAGGCAUUUGUGUAACCACCCCUGGUAAUGGGAGCUGCAAAAUGUUCCAUAAAAGCAGGCAGAGUACCCAGUUUACCCGGCAAUAUGAAAUC